GAUGAACGCUGGCGGCGUGCUUAACACAUGCAAGUCGAACGGUUAAGGCGGACCUUGCUCUGCUGGCUCAGUGGCGCACGGGUGUGUAACACGUGAGCAAUCCGCCCCUGACUCUGGGAUAAGCGCUGGAAACGGCGUCUACUACUGGAUACGAGCUGCGGAAGCAUCUUCAGCAGCUGACAAGAAGGUCGGUCAGGGAUGGGCUCGCGGCUUACCAGCUUGUUGGUGAGGUACUUGCUCACCAAGGGGUCGACGGGUAGCCGGCCUGAGAGGUGGGACGGCGUCAAGGGGACUGAGGGAGGGACCAGACGGCAACGGGAGGCAGCGGGGGGAAAUAUUGCACAGUGGGGGAGAGCGUGAGGCGGAGGCCCCGGGAGAGGGAAGACCGCCUUCGGGGUGUAAACCGCAUUUAGCAGGGAAGUAGCGAUAGUGACGGUACCUGCAGAAAAAGCGCCGGCUAACUACGUG
rnacentral:rRNA from 1 species